rnacentral:rRNA from 1 species
CCUACGGGAGGCUGCAGUGGGGAAUAUUGCACAAUGGGCGAAAGCCUGAUGCAGCAACGCCGCGUGAAGGAAGACGGUUUUCGGAUUGUAAACUUCUUUUCUCAGGGACGAAGCAAGUGACGGUACCUGAGGAAUAAGCCACGGCUAACUACGUGCCAGCAGCCGCGGUAAUACGUAGGUGGCAAGCGUUAUCCGGAUUUACUGGGUGUAAAGGGCGUGUAGGCGGGAAAGCAAGUCAGAUGUGAAAACCAUGGGCUCAACCUGUGGCCUGCAUUUGAAACUGUUUUUCUUGAGUACUGGAGAGGCAGACGGAAUUCCUAGUGUAGCGGUGAAAUGCGUAGAUAUUAGGAGGAACACCAGUGGCGAAGGCGGUCUGCUGGACAGCAACUGACGCUGAGGCGCGAAAGCGUGGGGAGCAAACAGGAUUAGAUACCCGGGUAGUC